UUGCCGGCGACCGGCGCACGGGUGAGUAACGCGUAUCCCCUCUUCCGCUUACUCGGGGAUAGCCUUUCGAAAGAAAGAUUAAUACCCGAUGGUAUCUUAAGCACGCAUGAGAUUAAGAUUAAAGAUUUAUCGGUAAGCGAUGGGGAUGCGUUCCAUUAGGCAGUUGGCGGGGUAACGGCCCACCAAACCUACGAUGGAUAGGGGUUCUGAGAGGAAGGUCCCCCACAUUGGAACUGAGACACGGUCCAAACUCCUACGGGAGGCAGCAGUGAGGAAUAUUGGUCAAUGGGCGAGAGCCUGAACCAGCCAAGUAGCGUGAAGGAUGACGGCCCUACGGGUUGUAAACUUCUUUUGUGCGGGAAUAAAGGAGCCUACGUGUAGGCUUUUGCAUGUACCGUAACGAAUAAGCAUCGGCUAACUCCGUGCCAGCAGCCGCGGUAAUACGGAGGAUGCGAGCGUUAUCCGGAUUUAUUGGGUUUAAAGGGAGCGUAGACGGGUUUUUAAGUCAGCUGUGAAAGUUUGGGGCUCAACCUUAAAAUUGCAGUUGAAACUGGAGACCUUGAGUACGGUUGAGGCAGGCGGAAUUCGUGGUGUAGCGGUGAAAUGCUUAGAUAUCACGAAGAACUCCGAUUG
rnacentral:rRNA from 1 species